UACGUAGGGUGCAAGCGUUGUCCGGAAUUAUUGGGCGUAAAGAGCUCGUAGGCGGUCUGUCGCGUCUGCUGUGAAAACGCGGGGCUUAACCCCGGGCCUGCAGUGGGUACGGGCAGACUAGAGUGCGGUAGGGGAGACUGGAAUUCCUGGUGUAGCGGUGAAAUGCGCAGAUAUCAGGAGGAACACCGGUUGCGAAGGCGGGUCUCUGGGCCGUAACUGACGCUGAGGAGCGAAAGCGUGGGGAGUGAACAGG
rnacentral:rRNA from 1 species